rnacentral:lncRNA from 1 species
GGCACAUGACAUGAGUCGGUAAACGAAAGCGCCCCGCAUCGAAUCGCAUUCAUACAGAUUCCGAAUCCGUGAGAGUUGACUCCGAUCUUGCCAACUAGUCCAGCUUCGUUUAGGAAUUGUAAACGAGUCUCUCCGUCCGGUGUUAUAAUAUCCAUAAUAACACCUCGGGAUACAGCUUCUCAAGGAUUGGAAUAAAGAUCUUCGAGCGCUCCUUUGCGUCUUCCCAGGUCUUCAGACCAGCCGUUUCUUGGAAGAAUAUUGUGUACGUUUUGAUUUUGGUGUGGAUCUGCUCUUUUACUUGUUGGCCAUGCUGCAGACCAAUUUCAUACUAUGUAAGAGGAGCCCCGGAGGUGCAGAGUGGCCACGUAUGGCCUCGGAUAGUUAUUAAUGUGCUACUCUUGCUAUUAUAGACGUUCCGACAAUUCUGAAGCUAAUAUACCCACACGACAGAAGAAUUGAAAGCGAAAAAAAUUAUUUUUAGCUACUUUGGUUUCGAGAGACCUCAUUUAAACCCAUAAGUGGCACGGAAUUGUGACAAAGUCUAAGGAUAUCCCACGUUGGAGAUUCGCGAUGAAAGAGUGGGCUCCAGGCGGAAAAGAGCGAACCCAUGGGUCUCAGGUUUUGCUUAUAUUGGUCAAUGGUACGAUUUAACAUUGUUUGAUUCGGUAUCAGUCGGACGAUGAACGAUUCUCAUAUUCAGGAUUGAUCUUACAAUUUUCAGAAGGUGGAAUGGUGUCGAAGUGGCGAGACUAAACGAUAUCCCUACAUAGUACUUCGUACGGUAUAUUGUGACGCUAAUCCUAUAUAGACAUAGCCAGCCACUUCGUUAUGUGAAGCGAUCGGAGUUCCCUCAGAGUCACGUGCAUAUUCUCUGAUUGGCUGUCUUCUUUAUCCUUCAAUCGUCCUCAACAGAGCAUCUCGACGACACCUCAUAGUCGGGGAUCAAUUCCUGCGGGAGGGCCGCACCUAGAAUAUACAAAAUCCUAUCUUGCGCCUGCGACACCUCGUACAAGCGCGUGAAGCUCGAGGAUUGCGACCGGAGACCCUCCGAGAUCUCAUUACUCGGAUGCAUCAAGCAUGAGCGUUGACGCGGUUUGAUGCCUCAACAGUCAAGCCUUUACAGAGUAACUAGUUAGUACACGUGCUACUAUGGUACAGCAGGUGUCGAUUGCUUAGGCUAUACGUAGAACCACUGGUGACAUAACUAUUAACCAAACACACUUAGUUAACUAGUCAGGUACAUUAUUUGAGCACAUUAGGCAAGACUUUCCAAUCGUAAACACCGGCUCGCCCCAUUUUUCAUUAGCAUACCGAGAGCGCGCUAGUUAACUAGUUAUGGUAGUUAGCCUUUGUAUUACGUACUACGUAAGUUAUCCAUCAUUGGAGGAAGCAAAAUGACUUGCCA